UACGAAGGGGGCUAGCGUUGCUCGGAUUUACUGGGCGUAAAGCGCACGUAGGCGGUCUAAUAAGUUUGGUGUUAAAUUUCUCGGGCUCAACUUGAGAAAUGCAUCAAAAACUGUUAGACUUGAGGAUGUUAGGGGCUGAUGGAACGGUCGGUGGAGGGGUGAAAUCCGUUGAUAUCGACCGGAACACCAAAAGCGAAGGCAUUCAGCUAGAACAAUCCUAACGCUGAGGGACGAAAGCGUGGGGAGCAAACAGG
rnacentral:rRNA from 1 species